UGGAAAGUACUUAAGAUUAUUCUCAUUUUUUUUCCAAGCUAUGGCAGAAAAUAUAAUCCUCCAUGUGGAAGCUAGGAAGAGGAUUUUGCUGGUACAGAAGCUUUGCAGGAGCUGUUGUGUGGUCAAAUUAUCCACUCAUCUCCAGAAACCGUACCUGAAGCGCCGGUGAGGGCAGAGGUGGUCAGCUGUACCCUGUGGUGCUGAGUAAGUGACAACAAGAAGCCUCUUAAAACUCCCAGCAGAUGUUGCUGCUUUUGUAUGCUAAUGGAAACAUCACAAACCGUUUUCGAGAGCAGAUCAGAUAACGGGGUGGUUGAAGUUCUCCGUGAAGAUCAGGACGUGCAAACAUGAGGCUGCUCCUGUCUGCCUGUGGAAGGCCUGAUCCACUUGUUCUUCCGGGUUGCCUGCAUUGGCCUACAGGCACCGCAGAGAGGCAUCUCAGCACAUGGAGUUCCUGGAGAGGGUUUGGGGGUUUCUCCACCGUGGUACCAUAGCCCCAGCGUCCUGUUCAGAAAACCCACGCAGUCAAGUCCAGAGCCUCGAGGAUCUUCUGCAGGAGGAAGGGGAGAGUCUGCAAGAAGGAGCAAUGAGAAUGGAGGAAAAGGUAAGAGACAGAACAAUUAACGCUUGAUGUGGAAGUGUGGAUCCUUGCAGAACUCCUGAUGAGACCAGCACUUUAUAAAUAGAUGAUGACAAAGGUGUCUGUAGAUGAUAUAUUCUGCAUCAUACUUGUCCCUGAAAAAAAUAAUGUAGAACAUCUCAAACCUACCAUGAGCAGUCAAUUAAGAGACCAUCCCAAGGGAGUAUAAGAUGAGGUACAGCCUGUGUGGUUGACAUAACCUCCAUCGGCAGUCCCCACAGCGUGUCUCUGGGGACCCUGGCAGAGCUGCUGCUCCUGCUGAUGGCUGGACCCUGUUUCUAUUGCGCUGACCCCAGCGGCAGGACUGCCCGAGCAGCAGGACAGGGAGGGCAAGG